rnacentral:rRNA from 1 species
GUCAACGCCUUGGGCCUUGGGCCGAAGUCAAGCAACAUCGGGCGCGGUCAGUACUUGGAAGGGUGACCACCUGGGAACACCGCGUGCUGUUGACA